UGAAGGAAGGAGGCGGACGGAAGGAGGCGGACGGAAGGAGGCUGAAGGAAGGAGGUGGACGGGAGGAGGCAGACGGAAGGAGGCUGAAGGAAGGAGGCUGAAGGAAGGAGGCGGACGGAAGGAGGCGGACGGAAGGAAUCAUAUGGAAGGAGGCGGACGGAAGGAGGCUGAGGAAGGAAGCGGACGGAAGGAGGCUGAAGGAAGGAGGCGGACGGAAGGAAGCUGAAGGAAGGAGGCUGAAGGAAGGAGGCGGACGGAAGGAAGCUGAAGGAAGGAGGCGGACGGAAGGAGGCUAAUUCAGUUCAAUUCAAUUUUAUUUGUAUAGUGAUUUUUACAAUAGACACCGUCUCAACGCAGCUUUACAGAAACAUAUAAACACAGUAUACAGAUUUUGAAUGUGCAAAUUUAUCCCAAUUGAGCAAGCCGGUGGCAAGGAAAAACUCCCUAAGAUGUUAAGAGGAAGAAACCUUGAGAGGAACCAGACUCAUCUGGAUAACAACAGAUAGUGUGGAAAAGUUCAUUAUGGUUUUAUAUGAAGUAUGUUUGGCCUUAGAAGCAGCCGUAGUCCCAGCAAUGGAAGGAAGCUGAUGGAAGGAUGCUGAAGGAAGGAGGUGGAUGGAAGGAGGCUGAAGGAAGGAGGCUGACGGAAGGAGGUGGAUGGAAGGAGGCGGGUGGAAGGAGGCUGAAGGAAGGAGGCUGACGGAAGGAGGCGGGUGGAAGGAGGCUGAAGGAAGGAGGCGGACGGAAGGAGACGGACGGAAGGAGGCUGAAGAAAGGAGGCGGAUGGAAGGAGGCUGAAGGAAGGAGGCGGAUGGAAGGAGGCUGAAGGAAGGAGGCUGGAUGGAAGGAGGCGGAUGGAAGGAGGCUGAAGGAAGGAGGCGGAUGGAAGGAGGCGGAUGGAAGGAGGCGGAUGGAAGGAAGCUGAUGGAACACUGGGACAUUGUAACUGGCCUGUAAUAUCAGCAGACCUCAGUCACCUGUGGGGUCAUUUAAAACAGCAAGUGAACCACAAGUGACAGGAUUGCUGCUGUUAUUUAGGUGUGAAUCAGCGGUUUGCCUUUGUGUCAGACUCGAGAGCAGACGCAGCUGUUGUAUGCGACCGGAGUUUGGAGAAGCUGGGUGUGUGAUUGAUGUGUGGCUGCUUUUGUAAAAGGAAAUCACUCCCCCCCCUACACACACACACACACACACACAUACCCCCACCUACAGCACACCUGGCUGUCAAAAGCUGCUGAGUGUCAUUGACAUGCUAAUAAAUACCGACCAAAAACCCCUGACACACAAAACACUCAACACACACAACACACUGGCUCGGGGCAGAGCGAGCACUUUGAAGUUUCAGCCAAAGUCAGAAAAAAAAGAACUUCACAGAUAAGUGUGUGAGAGAGAAAGUGGAGAAGGAGAAGAGGACAUUCUGUGCUGUUUUUUUUUCCCUUCAGGAAGUGAUAGAGGCCUGUGACUAAACUUCACACACACAACUGACCGCACAGCUUAGCGUCAAACACACUGCUGCCACGCUGACGCUAGAAAAUUCCACACAUUCCUGCUCCAGAAACACUCAGCAUAGUUUGGAUCAGACUGCAAUGGCAUCCGAGCAGGCUGACCAACACACACACACACACACACACACACACACCAGCUGGCUGUAACAACAGGCCUAAGGCCCACCAGACUUCAGCUUCAGUCAUUUCUAUAAAGCACUCCACUGUAAGUAGUGUAUAAUAAUGAACUUUACACCAAAGUGCUACUGAAUUCUCAAUUCUGAUUGGUCAAUAGCUGUUGAUUAAUUUUCUAUGUCAGCAAUACUUGGACUGGUAUGGUGGAUGCUCCAUAAAACUUAAUGCACUAACCAAAAAUUAAAUUAAUAAAUUAAAGCUGUUAUUUAACAAAUGAAAACGUACAACUCUUAGGGUCUUUCUCAGAAAUGUGGCAAGCUGGCGUUUUUUUUUUUAUUUUUUUAUUUUUAUUUAUUUUGUAUUUCAGUGCUUAAAAAGUACAACAUGCCAUUAAUUUAUUGAAUAAAAAAAAAUUAUUUUGGCAA